ensembl:lncRNA
CCCCAACAACAGGACAACCAAAGUGUUGGUCCUCAGUCAAGACAGUGAGUGACCCUUAAUGAUCGAGGUGUCAUUUCAACCUACAGUAACUAACACUCAACCUGGUGUUGUGUUGCAAACAAAUGGCGCGGCGUCUGUCCGGAUCAUUUGUGGUGAGGAUGAUGAUGCUGCUAAGUCAAAGAACAAUGGCUGAACCCCUCAGUCCGAGGAAGAAAAAGGUAUUUUCCUUUGUGAAUACUUUGAAUGUUUUUUUUCCGCCAAUGCCUGUCUACGGGUGAGUGGCCAUCCUAGACAUGUCAAAAGCCUUAUACAUUACACACACACACACACACACACACACACAAGUCUUGGCUGGAACACGUAUAUCGCUCUUUCAAAUAGGGGAAUUAAAGACUGAUGGUGUUACUGAUUCUUUAACUAAAACACAGUAUUAGUUCAAACUAUAAGGUUUCUGUGCUGUACUGUGUUUUGGAGGCAUAGCUGAGGGGCUUCUCUACCCCCAAAACACAGCAAGUCAACAGAUAUUUUUGUACAUACACUUUUUUUAACACCGCUUCGCAAAAGCCUUCCUUUAUGUACUAAGAAGACAAAAAAAGUCUGGCUACUUUGACAUUUCUUUUGCACACUCACUGGCUUGCAUGGUAUUAGGCCACACAGCCUUUUAAAACCUGCUGUGACGAUUGGCCCCUGGGGACUCUACUGUAGAAGUGCAUCUGUGACAACAUCCAUUUAGUCAUCCCUGGUUCUCUUUCAGUAGGGAAGGGAUCAGGUUGCUCAUAGAUGUAAUAAGUAAUUUAAUAAACCACGCUUCCUAUGUCCCCGCUUUGUGCUAUGGGCCGUCCUGAAUGCAAACGUGCACUAUCAGGGCUGGGUAUUGGAAAAUGAAUAACUAAGGGUACGUGUUUGAGUGUUGAUUAAAACAUAACUUUGAAUAGGGUUCCAUACAAUUUCCAUUUUCUUCAGGUCAUUCUGUAUUUUCUGUGUCCAAGACCUCUUCUCAAAUCCAUCCCAAUGCAUCCUCCUCCCCUUUAAGUGAGGUGAGGUAUGUAAUGAUGAAAUGUACUACACACUAAACUCUUUUAUUCCUUGAGCUAGCUAAUGUCCUUGACAAUCUGCUCCAGAAAAAAAUACUGCUUUGUUGAAAAACCCUUUCUAAAGGGGGCUUUGAAAUGUUUUGCCGGAUAAUUUAAGGUGAGAGUAAGUAGGAAUUCUGAAGAGUAAUCCUCAGGUUUUUAUUUAUUUAUAUUUAGCAUUCCUUUAAUUUAUCUUUUUUAUUUUAUUUUAGAGCCUGGAGGCUUGUACUGAAAUACAUGUAUUAACACAGAGGCCCAACCUAAUUCGCUAGCUGGUCAGGUUAAACAGGAGGAAGAUGUUUUUUUUUUUGCCAAGUUGGUAUUUAUUUUGAAGCAUCAGUGAUUGAUACGGUUGUUGAAAGACUGUCGGAAAUACCUAGUCCUGAACCGGGAACAGGUUUUAUCUGCCGUUUUCUCUUUUGUAGAUUGAUUGCUACCUUUUAUGUCUCUCUAUGUUCCCCCUGCUGGCAACGACUGUUGUUUCACUUCAGGGUGGGGUCACCCAACAGAACCCACAGUGAUCAAUCAGAGCACCUCUCAGAUCAGCUGUUUAUACAUCCCUGUAAUAUAAACCAAAAUAUGGUAUUCCUUGCAAGCUGAUCACUGCAUGUUAUGAGUUGUCCUUUAAUGUACAAUUUAUAUCUUUAUUUAUACAUUUGUUUAAUUUGUAUUCUAUUUUAUUUUAUUGUUGGUCAUUAUUUUUCAUGACCAGCUGUACAGAAGCAUUUGAUUAACAUCCACCUGUGAUAGAUUUGCAACAAUGUACAAAACUAUGUUUGCUCUAGAAUUAAACUGACCGAAGAAAUUAAACUGUUGUUGCCUCAUAUAGGCUAUGUGCCACCCAAAAACAAGAA